CAACCCAAUUGGGAGGGUGGAAGGGUGCUCGGUGCUUCCGAAGACUGGAGAUAGGUGGUGGUGGUGGAGGAGGUGGGUUAUGCGUAGAUUCCUACUUUCCUUCUUUUUAGGAGAGGCGGUCGAGAGAGGGGCUAAGGAGAGAGAGAGGCGGUAGUGACUAAGGUCUUUGGGAUCAGUGGUACCCAGCGACCGCGUCGAAACCGCGGAGGUCAAACAGCCGGGCGGUGGGGCGCAGAGACGUGCUUGCCGAUAGUUAGUUCGAGCUGCCAGACGCGACGGAGCCAAUGGAGUUGAGGCUGCGGCUGCCAAGUGUUAGAGCUGUUACUAGAUACGAUGGAACUAGUGAGCGGACUGGAUAACGUAGGUACGGCGAGGUACAAGACUCAAGAGGUGACGUUAACACACGCGUGACUUUAUGGUCCUACUUUUGGGCCUAAACAAUAGAAGUCAAAUAUCAACUCUGAAGUAAAUACGACUCAUGCGACAUCGUCGACCUGUAGCAGUAGCGAGUUUACACACCGUCAAUGUAUACGUUCGACCCAAAAAAAAUAGACAAGUUAACGUUUCCUCUUGAGUGUAACACUUAAGAACACUGCUGAGGGACCUAUGAUGGGAUACGUACGAAAGGUGCUACAUGACUACAGUAACUGCACGGAAAACACUACUCUUUCCUUGAUCCCUAACGUCUACUACAAUUCCACCAGUAAAAGAUGAAAACUCCUGUCGGCAGAUGGUUAGCAGCGGGCUAGACUUCGACGUGUUUUCUACGCGGUGGUAUAUCUAUUCGAAGAGAACGGGAUGUAACUGUACAAAAGGGGACCAAAUCACUUACACUUUGUUCUUAACUUGAACUGCGGUGACUUUCAAUUUAAUUUAUAUAGGUAGAUCGUAUUAGUACUCGUAGUUCACAAGUUCUUUUUUUUAUACUAAUAUACAUUAAAGAUAAAAAACGGUAGGAUAUGGUUACUAGUUACAACAUUAUUCGAAUGACACGUCAAAAUUUAAAUAUUGUCUGAUAUGUGUACAAAAACAAAAGUUUAUUGAUACUAUCUUUAGUCACAGGUCAUGCACCAAGGUGUUUCCGUUCCAAUAUGACAAGACGUGAAUGAUACUAUCUUUACUAGAUUUAGAGAUUUAUUGUUACUCACACGUAUCAUAAAUCGCACUGUCCAUGUCUUGGUAUUUUUGUCUACUUAACGGUUUUACUAUCAUCAUGUUUAGUAGCCACUUCAAUAAGACUAAAUCGUUUAGUUUGAAUGGACUUAUACGUUAAGCGUUCUGAUCUACAGUUCGGUUGUUGUACGAGAAGAUGAAGAUACAUUACCCUGGUUGGAUCGAACCAUUGGAAAGAUUACGAUGUAAUCUUUAUAUACUAGUCAACUAGACCGGUGAGUUUUUACAGUUUUCAUUAACAGUACGUCGAUCUAAUCAAUAACGUUACGGAAGUCGGAAACAUACAAGGGGGAGAAAAAAAUUAACACAACAUAUAACCGGUCUAAAAAAAAGAAAGACAUUACCAUGCAAUGAGUACAGUCAAAAAUAAACUACAUCUAACGGUUCUAUUUAUCUACUACGUACCGAUUCACCAAAGAUCGUUCCGCCUCUUACCCUGAUGGUGGUUCUAUCAAAAUGCAAAUAAAAAAUCUUACGGUAAAAGUACCAGUAACAUAUCUUUACUACACUACAGUAAAAGUCCCAGUUACAUUCCUUUUAGUACACAAAUGAGAAACCUAAAACAAGGUACAUUACGUUGGUUAGUCUAAGUUAUAUACUCGAUAAGGAUAAAU
rnacentral:rRNA from 1 species